AACGAACGCUGGCGGCAUGCCUAACACAUGCAAGUCGAACGAGACCUUCGGGUCUAGUGGCGCACGGGUGCGUAACGCGUGGGAACCUGCCCUUAGGUUCGGAAUAACUCCCCGAAAGGGGUGCUAAUACCGGAUAAUGUCUUCGGACCAAAGAUUUAUCGCCUUUGGAUGGGCCCGCGUUGGAUUAGCUAGUUGGUAGGGUAAAAGCCUACCAAGGCGACGAUCCAUAGCUGGUCUGAGAGGAUGAUCAGCCACACUGGGACUGAGACACGGCCCAGACUCCUACGGGAGGCAGCAGUGGGGAAUAUUGGACAAUGGGCGAAAGCCUGAUCCAGCAAUGCCGCGUGAGUGAUGAAGGCCUUAGGGUUGUAAAGCUCUUUUACCCGGGACGAUAGUGACAGUACCGGGAGAAUAAGCUCCGGCUAACUCCGUG
rnacentral:rRNA from 1 species